UUAUGUUGCCUCACCAUUGCAGCGAAAUCAUCCAAAGGGAGAGGGCAGUGAAGCAAAGAGAUCCCGGUCAGUUCAUAAUUAGGUGUCAAUUAGAGAAGGGAAAGUGGACAAGGCCCUUUGCAAUCUAGGGGCUAACAUCAAUCUCAUGCCGUUGAAAUACUACGAGAAGCUCAACAUCGGGCCUCUCAAAACGUCAGAUGUAAGUAUAAGGUUGGCCAAUAACACGGCAAUCAAAACAGUGGGCAUGAUUGAGGAUGUCUUGGUAAAGGUAGAGGCGAAAUCACGAUUAGAGAUAAUUACAGCCGUUCCACCUACAAGAUAGAGAGUGAAAUGCUCAAGUAUAAAGAAGCGCAACAAGCUAAGAUGGAGCGUGAAUGCAGGGCGGUCAUGAAUGAUGGGCUUGUUAGUGGUGAAAAUGUGUAUAACAUUAUGUAUUGAGAAACUCUAUAUUCCUUUGGUUUGUAGAAAUGCCUCGUGGAGGAUUUACAGGACGCAGAGCCUCAGCCCCCAUUGGCCCUCCAGCUCGGUUUGUACCCUUCUAAAGAUGUGGCAAACGUAUUGUGUGAUUGUUUUCAGAAUGUAGUACUCCCGGAUGCUUUCUUACAAAGUAAACUUACUGAGAAAGGCGUUGAAACAUAUUGACUUGAAUUUAAGGUAAUUGUAUAAACCAUUAGCAUAAAGAAUGGUCAAGGUUUUACAUA